AGAGUUUGAUCCUGGCUCAGAACGAACGCUAACGGUACUCCUAACACAUGCAAGUUGAACGGAAGUAGCAAUACUUUAGUAGCAAACGGGUGAGUAACGCGUGGGAACUUACCUUUAGGUGGGGAAUAGUAGAGAGAAAUUUCUAGUAAUACCGCAUAUACUUGAGAAAGGAAAGGCAAGCAAUUGUCGCCUAAAGAAAG
rnacentral:rRNA from 1 species